rnacentral:rRNA from 1 species
UACGUAGGUGGCAAGCGUUGUCCGGAUUUACUGGGCGUAAAGAGCGCGCAGGCGGUCGUUCAAGUCGCGUGUGAAAGCCCCCGGCUCAACUGGGGAGGGUCACGCGAUACUGAUCGACUCGAAGGCAGGAGAGGGUAGUGGAAUUCCCGGUGUAGUGGUGAAAUGCGUAGAUAUCGGGAGGAACACCAGUGGCGAAGGCGACUACCUGCCUGUUCUUGACGCUGAGGCGCGAAAGCUAGGGAGCA